GGCCCUGAGAAGGAAUUUGAGACAGUAUUCCUAGCUCUACGGGGUGCAGCAGUUGAGGAAAUUUUACAAUGCUCGAAAGAGUGAUAAAAUAAGCCAGAGUGUUUCGUUUUACGAAACUUUUGUCUGCAGUAAAAAGGCAGACGAAUAAGGACUGGGCAAGACCGGUGCCAGCCGCCGCGGUAAUACCGCCGGUCCGAGUCGCAUCCACAUUUAUUGGGUCUAAAACAUCCGUAGCUUGUUCUGUAAGUCUCUUGUGAAAUCUCAUGUCUCAAGCAUGAGGCGGGCACGAUAUCAUGCAUUACUAGAGACCGGAAGACGUAAGAAGUACGAUUAAGGUAGCGGUAAAAUGUGUUAAUCUUAAUCGGACUAACAAUGGCGAAGGCAUCUUACGAGUACGGAUCUGACAGUGAGGGAUGAAGGCUAGGGGCGCCAAAGGGAUUAGAUACCCCUGUAGUCCUAGCAGUAAACACUGCUCACUAAACAUUAGUACCUCCUAGAGAGGUAUUAGUGCUGUAGGGAAGCCGAAGAGUGAGCUACCUGGGAAGUAUAGUCGCAAGGCCGAAACUUAAAGGAAUUGGCGGGGGAGCACAAUCG
rnacentral:rRNA from 1 species